ensembl:snoRNA small nucleolar RNA SNORA51
GUCCUCCUAAUGCUUACCACAGACAGCACACCUCAGAGUGCUGACUGUAUAGAAACAGGAGGUACAUCAGUUACUCCCAACACUUCUGUUCUGCCAGCUGUUAUCUGGUGAGGCAACACUGUUGGGUGGAACAUCG